rnacentral:rRNA from 1 species
GAAUUGCUAGUAAUCGCAGAUCAGCAUGCUGCGGUGAAUACGUUCCCGGGCCUUGUACACACCGCCCGUCACACCAUGAGAGUCGAUAACACCCGAAGCCUGUAGUCUAACCAUAAGGGGGACGCAGUCGAAGGUGGGAUUGAUAAUUAGGGUGAAGUCGUAACAAGGUACC